rnacentral:lncRNA from 1 species
GCCUGGAGUUUCCUAUGCAGGCCAGGUUUGCCUCAGACUCACAGAGAUCCAUCUGCCACUGCUGAGUGCUAGGGUUAAAUACAUGUAACACCACACACAACUCUACUACUAGUUUUUAACUCAGUAUUUCUGAGGAUUGUUGUUGCUGUGGGUUGAACCCAGAUUCUCAUGAAUGCUAAGCAUAUACUCUCCCACCCGGGCACACUCCCAGUGAGUCUGGCUGUUUGUAUAAUUAAUUACUGUUUGUAUAAUUAAUGACUGUUUAUAUAAUCAUAGCCCCCUUCUCCAAUCUACACUUCCUGUUCUCUGCUCCAGUUGCACAACCUCCCUAGAAUAAUUUUUCUGGGUCUUCUAUCUUUGUCCCUCAUCAUUUUUAUUUUACAAAUGUUUAUUUAGGGCCCGAAGAGGUGGCUCAGUGGUUAAGAGCACUCUGCUCUUGCAGAGGCCCAGGGUUUGAGUCACAGCACCCGUAUGGCAGCUUACAACCAUCUGUAACUCCAGUUCUGGGGCACCUGACACCUUCUUCUGGCCUCCAAAGUCACCAGGUAUGCACAUGGUACAUAGACACACAUGCAGGCAAAACACCUAAACACAUACAAUAUUUACUUAAAAAAAGAUUUACUUCAUAUGUGUGAGUGUUUUUCCUGCAUACAUGUGGCUGGGGAGGUCGAAGACACAUCAUGUGCUCUGGACUGGAGUGAGACAGUUGUGAGCCGCCACGUGGAUGCUUGGAAUCAAACACAGGUCCUGUCAAGGGUAGCCAGGGCUCUUAACGAACCACUGAGCCAUCAUUUCAUCCUGGAACAUACAUUAAAAAGAAAAAAAAAACAGCUUUACUUAAAUGUAAUCAAUACACCAUCCAAUUAGUGCAUUUACAGUGUUGUUUUAUGGUUAUUUUGUAAGCUCACAAAGUCUGAACCUACCCACGAAAUCGAUGCUUUCAGAACAUUUCAAUCAUCCUCAAAUACCUUUUAGCUGUUACCACCCCACCCCCCAACUCAGUGUCAGCUAACCCAUCUCUACAGGUUAACUUCUUGUGGGUUUCUCAUACAAGUGGAUCCAUCACUCAGUUCUCUUCAGUGACCUCUUUCCCUUGCGUGGAGUUUUCUCUCCACUCCCGCUGGAAUUGAACCAGGAUCAUUUAUAACACAACAUGUAUCAGUAUAAUAUAUCUAUCUUAUUUUUACAAUAAAAACGUGAGGCAGAGUCUCAUUUGUCCUUCACUGGCCUCAAAGUCCCCAUGGAGCCAAGAAUGACCCUAAACUUCCUGGUCCUCUUUUUACUAUUUUAUUUACUAUUUCCCUUUUGCUGGGAUUUCAGGCAUGCACCAUCUCGCCCAUUUUGUCUGACGCUGAGAUCAAACCUAGAGUUUCAUUUCUAUUAGGCACACAGUCCACCAACUGACCUACCUCCCCAGCCCAAAAUUUAAAAUAUUUAAAGUAUGAAUAACAUAAAAUUACCUUAUCAUGACCACGAAAUGUUUUAUUACACCAAUUCUUUGUUUAUCGCUUUAUUGAAGUGUGUGUGUGUGUGUGUGUGUGUGUGUACUUGUGUGUACUUGUGUGUACUUGUGUGCCACAGAAUGUGUGUGAAGGUCAGACGACAACUUGUAGGAGUCUGUUCUCUCCUUUACUGUGUGUAUAGCGGGAUUGUCUGGAUCCAUCAGCGAUUAAAUAAUGACACAGAGACUUAUUAAUAUUUAUUGUAGCUAGCUAGGCCUUUAACUGAGCUGACUCUCAGCUAGCUCAAUCUAAAUCAACCCGACUAUUCUAGCCUACGCCCCACCACGUGACUAGUUCUCUAUAUGCUCCUGUUCUCGACUAUACACCUCCAUGUCUGGCUGGCAAAUUUUCCCUUCUGAUUUCUUCUCCCAGAGACCCUUUCUCUGGCCGGAAGUUCCGCCCUCCACUUCCUGUCUGGCUACUGUCCAUCAGAUCUUUACUAAAGCCAAUCAGCAAGUGAGGAAGGUGAAUGUUUACAGACUAGGAAACCAGGCGAUGGCCACAGUCUACGCUGGUACAGAAUUAACAAUGAGACAUACAGAGGCGCACCUUCACAUAGUGCACCCCAACACACGUGGGUCCUGGCAAUCAAAUUCAGGCUGUCAGACUUGGCAGCAUAUGUAUGAUGUGAACUUCUGUCAGAGUGGCCAUCAGUCAAGUGCAUUUUUAAAAAAAGAAAGAUAACCAAGGCGUCUUCUUCAUUUUUCUACCUUGUCUGACCCAGGACUCUUCAGACUUGAACUACUGCAUCUGGCUUUAUGUGGUGGUGUGGAGAUUCGAACUCAGGUUUAUGGGGCAAGUGCUUUACUAUGGCGAACCAUCUCCUGAGCUCUUAAAAAUGUUCUACGAGACCAGGAGGUGGUGGCAAAUGCCUUUACUCCAAGCACUUGAGAGGCAGAGGCAAGGGUGCUGCCAAUUUGAGAUCAGCCACAGCUAGACAGCAAAAAAGACCUGGUCUCAAAAACAAAAAAGUAAAAUAAGUAAGUAAAUACGUAUCUAUACAUGAAAUAAUAAUAAUCAUAAAUAACAACAGAUGAUGAGUCCAGGAAAAUUACAACAUCAAGUCAAAUGUUGCUGUUUUCUAGGAUGUUUACUUGUUGUUGGCUUUGUUUAUUUCCUGUGAGGACCCUGGGCAUGGAGAGAGGAGUCAGCAGCUAGGAGGGCACUGCUCCUGUGGAGGACCUGAAUUCCCAGCGCCCACAUGGGGCAGUUCACCACUGCUGAUAACAACAGCUCCAAGAGAUCGGGUGCCUCUGCUCCCUGAGGGCACCCACAGUCAUGGGAGCAUACUUGCACACAGAUAGAUACAUGCACACAAAUUAUAUAUAUAUAUAUAAAAAAAAGAUAGGCUAUCCUGAAGCUCAGGCUAGCCUUGAAUUUACUAUGUAGCUGAGGCUGCCUUUGAACUCCUGACUCUCCUUUCCUCCUGCCCAGGCUGGCCUUGAACUCACACCCAAGCAAUCCUCCCACCUCAGUCUCCCAAGUAGCUGAGACAACAUGUGAGUGCCUCUGAAUUUCACAUUUAUUUAUUUAUUUAUUUAUUGGUUUAUGUCUCGGGUACUUUUCUAUUGUUGUGAAGAGACACCUCCACCAAGCCAGCUUUGAGAAAGACACAUGUACUUUGUGGCUCAUGGAUUUAGAAAGCCAUAACCAUCAUGGGGGUUGGGAGGGGGACAUGGCCACCGGCAGUCAGGCAUGGCUCUGAUGCUGUAGUUGAGAGCUCAUAAUUUGGCCCACAUACAUGAGGCCGAGAAAGUGAGACACCAGGACCAGCGUGGGCUUUUGAAAUCUCAAGGUCCACCCCUGUUGAAACACUUCCUUCAAGGCCACACAGCCAAUUUCUUCUCAAACAGUUUCACCAUCUGAGGACCAGGCCUUCAAAGACAUGAGCUAUGCUGGGCCGUGCCUAUGCAGGUCACCACACUGAGGUGCAUGGCAAUAGAACCUUCAGAUCUCCAGUUAGUCAUUGCUCUGAAAUCACUGUCUCUAGCCUCGGGAUAAUGUCACCACCCCAGGAAGUCCUUGUUCGUUGUUCCUCUCUCUGGUGACCUCUGCUGUGCUCCGUGUGGAGCAGUGUAGUGACUCGGGCCAUAGAUUCCCUGACUGUGCCCAUUGAUAGCUGCCUCUUCCCCUGUAAGGUCAUGUUUGCGUCUUAUUUUAGCUGAAAUCCACGAGGUAUGAAGGUAAACAUUAGCUGGGUGUGGCAGUCCACACACACCUGUGUGCACCACAGAGGCCGAGGCCUGAGAACCUCUAGUUCAAGGCUGUAGUCUGGGCUACAGGGUGAGAUCCUACCUAUCACAAGAAACCAAGGGCUGGGGAUGUAGUUCAGUGGUAGACCUAUUGCACACAAGGCCCUGGGUUUGAUUCGAUAGUACUACAACCAUUACCAACAACCUCACCAUUUGAAAGUGUGCAUUUGGGGCUAGAGAGAUGGCUCAGUGGUUAAGAGUACUGACUGCUCUUCCAGAGGCCCUGAGUUCAAUUCCCAGCAACCACAUGGUGGCUCAUGACCAUCUGUAAUGGGAUGUGAUGCCCUCUUCUGGUGUGUCUGAAGAGAACUCAUAUACAUAUACAGGCCUCCCCCUGCCCCCUGCCCAGCACCUGGAAUGCCCAACCCUGCUUUCAGCCUACCUUUCCCUUCUCAUGGCCUACUGGGAUUUUACUAUCUGAUAAAGACGACACAAGAGGAGAAGAAACAUUUAGGUGAGAGAGUGAGACAAAACCCCUGAAAUCCAGGAAAACUCGCCCAGGCUGUCCAGCCCAGAAGAAGCCAUUUGUAAAGUCAAAGCCGCCCCUCAUCUUGGAUGCAAGGCUCCUCCUGGCCCCGGCUUGAAGGCUGCUCCCGGUGCUAUUGACAGAUGACGAUUGCAAUGUUUAUUUUCUUAUCAACCAAGUAAAAGUCAGAGGCCAGGUUGAAAGAGAAAAAUCCCCACAGCUGGCAUUGACAUAAAGACCAAACAGGAAGGAGUUUCAAAUGCAGGAAAGGCCACGGUUGUCUGUUAAACAGCACCUACCUGGAAUUCAUUUAAGCAAUCAAAGAAUGUGAUGUCAUCUCAGUUUCCAGUUUUUGGUCUGGUAAUGCUAUAGGAGCUAGUGUCUCAUAUAGGGUCAGAGGGUCUGACUUGCUGUGUCGCAGAAGAUGACUUUGAACUCCUGACUCUCUUGAUUCCAUUUCUCAAGUCCUCAGAAGGUGUUUGUCAUCAUAUCAGGUUUCUUUCAGUGCCGGGGACUGAACCUAGGACUUUGUGCAGGCCAGCAAGCAAGCACUCUACAACCAAGCCCAGCUCAGCUCUACCCCAGUGCUUCUCAGCUUUCCUAACUUUAAUACAGUUCCUCAUGUUGUGGUGACCCCCGGCUGUAAAAGUGUUUUCCUUGCUACUUCAUAACUGUAAUUUUGCUACUCUUACGAAUCAUAAGGUAAAUAUCUUAUAUGCAGGAUUUCUGAUAUGCAAGGCCCAAAGGGGUCAAGACCCACAGGUUGAAACUGCUCUAGCCUAGCCCUCAUCGUAUCUAAAAGGAAGAAAGGAAAAAUAAAAGACAGAAGGGAAAUGUUUGGGUCUGGAAAGAUGGUUCAGUUGAAACUUGAAUUCAGUUCACAGAAUGCGUGUGCCAAUGCCUGGCAUUGUGCCGAGAGCUGAGAAAAUAAUCACUGAGCUCCCCAAGAGGCCACACUGACCUUAGAGGUAACUGGUUAAUCCCCAGCUUCUCCUGAAACUACCAUGAUGCCACUUCAUGUGUGUGUGUGAGAGAGAGAUGUAUAUAUGUCUGUGUGUGUGUGUGUGUCUGUGUGUGAUGUCUGUGUGUAUGAUGUAUAUAUGUCUAGGUGUGUGUGUCUCUGUGUGUGUGGUGCAUAUAUGUGUGUGUGUGAUGUCUGUGUGUGAUGUAUAUAUGUCUAGUUGUGUGUGUCUCUGUGUGUGGUGCAUAUAUGUGUGUGUGUGGUGCAUGUGUGUGUGUGUGUCUUUCUGUGUGUGGUGCAUAUAUGUGUGUGUGAAUCUGUGUGUGUGUGCAGAUCCUCCUUCCCUGUGCGCACGUGUAGAGGGCAAGGGUCAAAGCAAGCUGUCUUCUGCCUUUCUCCAUGCUAGCACUUGGUUACGCACAUGUAAAGCCACACUCAGCUUUUCUUUUUUUUAUUUUGGCUGCUAGGAGUCCAAAUGCAGGUCCUUCUUUUUUUUUUUUUUUUUUUUUUUUUUA